AGUUUGUUCUUUCAUCUCUUCUGUGCUGCAAGGAAAUUGGUGCACCUGGUAAAGAGAGCAUGAAUUGGGUAGCCAAUUCCUGUGCCUUGUCCCACAAAAAAUCCCAAAAGAUUGAAAGAAGGUUUCUGCUUAGUUUAUGGAUCCCUAAGAUGGAUCAUGAUCUGAACAGAUGGAUCCUCUUCAGGAAUCUGAGAAUUCAGCUCUGAAAUGCAAGUCCCUAUAAACGGAUGUGUGCAUAGAAAACAAGGUAUGCCUGAGCAUUGAUGAUACAAGUUUGGCUGGGAGAGAAGAAAUGUAUCUUAACUUUGAGCAAGGAAUACCAUAUGAGUUGAGAGAAACUUGUUGGCUUGUUUUGGUAGACAAUGUUAUUAGCUCAGAUAAAUCGAGACUCUCAGGGAAUGACUGAAUUUUCUGGAGGAGGAAUGGAGGCCCAGCAUGUGACUCUUUGUCUAACAGAAGCUGUAGCUGUGCAAGGUGAACCUUCAGAUGGUGACAACUUAGAAAACAUGGAAGGUGUAAGUUUGCAAGCAGUUACCCUUGCUGAUGGCUCCACUGCUUACAUACAGCACAAUUCUAAAGAUGGUAAAUUAAUGGAUGGCCAAGUGAUUCAAUUAGAAGAUGGUUCUGCUGCUUAUGUUCAACAUGUACCCAUGCCUAAAAGCAGGGACAGCUUGCGUCUGGAAGAUGGACAAGCAGUUCAGCUGGAAGAUGGAACUACAGCAUUUAUUCAUCACACCUCGAAAGACAGUUACGACCAGAGUGCAUUACAAGCAGUCCAGCUGGAGGAUGGAACUACUGCCUACAUUCACCACACAGUGCAAAUGCCACAGUCAGAUACCAUUUUAGCUAUUCAAGCUGAUGGCACAGUAGCAGGUCUUCAUACAGGAGAUGCUGCCAUUGACCCAGAUACCAUCAGUGCUUUGGAGCAGUAUGCAGCCAAGGUGUCUAUUGAUGGAAAUGACAGUGUUAGUGGCACAGGAAUGAUAGGUGAAAAUGAACAAGAUAAAAAAAUGCAGAUUGUCUUGCAAGGACAUGGAACAAGAGUGACUGCAAAAUCUCAGCAGAGUGGAGAGAAAGCCUUUCGCUGUGAUUAUGAUGGCUGUGGAAAACUGUACACAACAGCUCACCAUCUUAAGGUGCAUGAAAGGUCACACACAGGAGACAGACCAUAUCAGUGUGAACAUCCUGGAUGUGGCAAAGCCUUUGCGACAGGGUAUGGGUUAAAAAGUCAUGUCCGAACACACACUGGUGAAAAGCCUUAUCGCUGCACAGAAGAAAAUUGCACCAAAUCUUUCAAGACUUCAGGAGACCUGCAGAAACAUAUUCGAACCCACACAGGUGAAAGGCCUUUUAAAUGUCCAUUUGAAGGAUGUGGCAGGUCAUUCACAACAUCUAAUAUUAGAAAGGUUCACAUCAGGACACAUACAGGCGAAAGGCCUUAUUACUGUACAGAGCCAGGAUGUGGGAGAGCUUUUGCCAGUGCAACUAAUUAUAAGAAUCAUGUGAGAAUACACACAGGGGAGAAACCCUACGUCUGUACAGUUCCUGGUUGUGAUAAACGUUUUACAGAGUAUUCCAGUUUAUACAAACAUCAUGUUGUACAUACUCAUUCCAAACCAUAUAACUGUAAUCACUGUGGGAAAACAUACAAGCAGAUUUCUACACUUGCUAUGCACAAGCGGACAGCACACAAUGACACAGAGCCCAUUGAAGAAGAACAAGAGGCUUUUUUUGAGCCACCUCCAGGUCAAGGUGAAGAUGUUCUCAAAGGCUCCCAGAUAACCUAUGUAACAGGUGUAGAGGGAGAAGAUGUAAUUUCUGCACAGGUUGCUACAGUUACGCAGUCAGGAUUAGGUCAACAAGUAGCACUAAUAUCCCAGGAUGGAACCCAACAUGUCAACAUAUCCCAGGCAGAUAUGCAGGCCAUUGGCAAUACUAUCACUAUGGUAACACAAGAUGGCACCACCAUCACAGUCCCUGCCCAUGAUGCGGUCAUCUCUUCUGCAGGAACACAUUCCGUAGCGAUGGUUACUGCAGAAGGCACCGAAGGACAGCAGGUUGCUAUUGUGGCUCAAGACUUAGCAGCAUUUCAUAGUGCCUCAUCAGAAAUGGGACAUCAGCAACAUGGGCACCAUUUAGUGACUACAGAAACUAGACCUGUUACAUUGUUGGCUACAUCCAAUGGAACACAAAUUGCAGUACAGCUUGGAGAACAACAGUCUCUGGAAGAAGCCAUUAGAAUAGCCUCCAGAAUACAACAGGGUGAAACACCAGGGAUUGAUGAUUAACUUCUAAAACUGCUACCAGAACAAUAGAGCGAAAGAUGAGUGUCAAGAGCACUUCUGAAACUGAAGCCUCACCUUUUACCUUCUCAAGGGAAGGAAGGAUUAAACAUCUUCUGGAUGAAGUGUUAAUCAAGUAAUCAUUUUUUUCCGGAAACAGUGGCUGGAACGGUGGCUUUGACUUAGCAAAGAAAUAACUUCAGUUCUUCUCAUUUCCCAGGACAUUUUCUGACCGCUGUACAAAUAGUGGAGAGACCUGUGCAAUUUUCUACCUUGCUUCCAUUCAGACCGGAGUGGAAGGAGCUGUUUUGAUGCAUAAAUUCAAACUCCAGCUGGUUGAUGACAGUAAGCAGGAAUGUCUGGGCCCUGGCUGUGGCCACGGGAGCUGGAACCAUGUCCGAAGUUGCUUGUGAGGCUUCUGCCCACAGACAUCGGAGACCAGCGACAGGAGAUGGGCAAACAACGGAAGCAUGGUUAAGUACAAACUUUUGUUUUCUAUUGAUUGGGCCUUAGGUGUUUCAGUUGGUUAUCUUUGGAGCUUUCAGACUCACAGACUGGUGCUGCUCACUGUCGAAGUGUGCCAUUUGCAGCAGAUGAGGUUUUUGUACCCCAGGCAAGGAGAGGUAGGUUUCGGGGAGGAGGCUGGUGGGGGGGCAUGGGCUGAGAGAAGAGGGGCUGUGCCACAGGGUCCCGGCAUCCCGCGUGCCCUCAGCUCUCAGGGAAGCAAAGCCCUGGCACUACCUGCAGGUCCAGGGGACGGUGUGCCUGCCCGGAGAGCCUGGGGAAGCAGAGAGAAACUCAACAGCGAUGCACACCUGGCUUGCUUCGCGUUGUUUGGAGCUCCCGGGGCUGGAAAAACCUGCUUAUUUCAGGGGUUACCCAAGGGGUUCAUUUUAAGGUGAUUUGAUAGAGGAGAGAGAUUGGCAGGUUUAUUUGUUCAGUUACAUUUAAUCAAGGUGGUGCGAGAUGGAAAACGAAGCCGAGAGGCAAAGUUGUGGCAUCUGUAGGGAGGUGGCCUGACUGUUAAAUGGCAUCUGCUGCAAAAUCGCAUAUGCCGUGCCAAGACUCUUUGAUUCGUUUAGAAAUGUCUCGUAGGAGUUACCAUUAACAGCACGGGGUGCUGUACUGGAGGCUCCUGCGUUUCUGACUGCGUUUCAAGUCACGCCAAUAGAGGUAUUUGGAACGUAUUAACUCUUCGGCUUAGCUAAAAAAGGCCGCCUUCACCUGGCCUAAAAGGAGUUGUUACUGUGCUGAGGCACAUGCGGUGGCGCGCUCCUCCAGCAACCGAACGGGAGCAAAGCAACCUUGCUGGGAGGCGGGGAGCUG